rnacentral:rRNA from 1 species
GUACACUCCUGCGGGAGGCAGCAGUGGGGAAUUUUGGACAAUGGGGGCAACCCUGAUCCAGCAAUGCCGCGUGAGUGAAGAAGGCCUUCGGGUUGUAAAGCUCUUUUGUCAGGGAAGAAACGGUGGUGGCGAAUAACUACUACUAAUGACGGUACCUGAAGAAUAAGCACCGGCUAACUACGUGCCAGCAGCCGCGGUAAUACGUAGGGUGCAAGCGUUAAUCGGAAUUACUGGGCGUAAAGCGUGCGCAGGCGGUUGUGUAAGUCAGAUGUGAAAUCCCCGGGCUCAACCUGGGAAUUGCAUUUGAGACUGCACGGCUAGAGUGUGUCAGAGGGGGGUAGAAUUCCACGUGUAGCAGUGAAAUGCGUAGAUAUGUGGAGGAAUACCGAUGGCGAAGGCAGCCCCCUGGGAUAACACUGACGCUCAUGCACGAAAGCGUGGGGAGCAAACAGGAUUAGAAACCCCUGUAGUCCC